UUCGGGAUAAGCCCGGGAAACUGGGUCUAAUACCGGAUAUGACCAUGACUCGCAUGAGUGAUGGUGGAAAGUUUUUUCGGUUGGGGAUGGGCUCGCGGCCUAUCAGUUUGUUGGUGAGGUAAUGGCUCACCAAGACGACGACGGGUAGCCGGCCUGAGAGGGCGACCGGCCACACUGGGACUGAGACACGGCCCAGACUCCUACGGGAGGCAGCAGUGGGGAAUAUUGCACAAUGGGGGAAACCCUGAUGCAGCGACGCAGCGUGCGGGAUGACGGCCUUCGGGUUGUAAACCGCUUUCAGCAGGGAAGAAGCCUUUCGGGGUGACGGUACCUGCAGAAGAAGUACCGGCUAACUACGUGCCAGCAGCCGCGGUAAUACGUAGGGUACAAGCGUUGUCCGGAAUUAUUGGGCGUAAAGAGCUCGUAGGUGGUUGGUCACGUCUGCUGUGGAAACGCAACGCUUAACGUUGCGCGUGCAGUGGGUACGGGCUGACUAGAGUGCAGUAGGGGAGUCUGGAAUUCCUGGUGUAGCGGUGAAAUGCGCAGAUAUCAGGAGGAACACCGGUGGCGAAGGCGGGACUCUGGGCUGUAACUGACACUGAGGAGCGAAAGCAUGGGGAGCGAACAGGAUUAGAUACCCUGGUAGUCCAUGCCGUAAACGUUGGGCACUAGGUGUGGGGGACAUUCCACGUUCUCCGCGCCGUAGCUAACGCAUUAAGUGCCCCGCCUGGGGAGUACGGUCGCAAGGCUAAAACUCAAAGGAAUUGACGGGGGCCCGCACAAGCGGCGGAGCAUGCGGAUUAAUUCGAUGCAACGCGAAGAACCUUACCAAGGCUUGACAUAC
rnacentral:rRNA from 1 species